CUCUUUUUUCUUAACAAUAGAAGUAAUUGCAUUUUUCUGAUGCACGUUUAAAUAAUCAAAUUUAAACUUAUCGCUCAGCACUUUAAACACUCGUUCCAAUUCCGCCAUGUUGUUCCCGCGGAAUACAACAAGUCCAAGGUCAUGUUUCCAAAAUUUAGAAGCAUUGCUGUGAUUGGUUGUUUUAAGGGAAUGGAAUGUUGUGCUCGAGUGAGCAGCCGCUCGUCGGGGGGAGAGCGGCUGCGAAGGAAACUAGACGACAAGUUCACCUGCUCUAAACCAAUCAGAACGCCGCUUUUAACACAGGUAUGGGAUAAGCAUAUUAGACAAAUGGGAAGACGACUUAACGAGUGAUGUGUAUGGGAUCGAAGAAAGAGUCGAAGAAUAUAUUCGAGGUAUUUCGAUAUCAAAUGGCCAAGCAUCUGGAGAAAACAAGGCAACUUCCCCGCAGAGCGUGUCAGUAAGUCAACUUGCGCAAGAGCCUCAAACGUCAUCGCAAGUGUCAACACCAGAAGCUAAUACCUCUACAUUACAGCAAGAAGAAAUUCAAGAAAUUCCGUCGCCUACAAGCAAUAUAUCCAUGACAAACCCCACCUCACCGAUGAUAUGAGAAUGAUCCAGCUGAAAAUGCACGUCAGUGGUGAUGCGGAAAGAGCGAUUUCGGGAUUAGUUCGAAAGGAAUAAUGUAUGCGACUGCCUUGAAGAUGAUCAAAGAACAAUUUGGACAACCAAGCGUAAUUGC